UACGUAGGGUGCAAGCGUUGCCCGGAUUUAUUGGGCGUAAAGAGCGUGUAGGCGGCCAGGUAGGUCUGCUGUGAAAACUCGAGGCUUAACCUCGAGCUGUCGGCGGAAACCAUCUGGCUAGAGUCCGGAAGAGGAGAAUGGAAUUCCCGGUGUAGCGGUGAAAUGCGCAGAUAUCAGGAAGAACACCAAUGGCGAAAGCAGCUCUCUGGGACGGUACUGACGCUGAGACGCGAAAGCGUGGGGAGCGAACAGG
rnacentral:rRNA from 1 species